AGCACUAAGAAAGCCAUGACAGAUAAGGGAGACAAACUAGUUGGAUUAAUUGACGGCGCACCUAAGGAGAGCUCCAGAAGUUCUGGAAAGAUGGGCGCUAACUCGAGUGCAAGCAGGGUUUGGAUCGUUGUUGCAAUUUUCUUCAUCGCAGCGUCUAUAGCGUUAGCUGGAUAUAUUAUCUAUGUUAAAGUUGU
rnacentral:sRNA from 1 species